UACGGGGGGGGCAAGCGUUGUUCGGAAUUACUGGGCGUAAAGGGCUCGUAGGUGGCCAACUAAGUCAGACGUGAAAUCCCUCAGCUUAACUGGGGAACUGCGUCUGAUACUGGAUGGCUUGAGUUUGGGAGAGGGAUGCGGAAUUCCAGGUGUAGCGGUGAAAUGCGUAGAUAUCUGGAGGGACACCGGUGGCGAAGGCGGCAUCCUGGACCAACACUGACACUGAGGAGCGAAAGCCAGGGGAGCAAACGGG
rnacentral:rRNA from 1 species